CGCUGAUAGUUUUUUUUAAAUUUAAACUUAGGUACUUUUUAUAAGUCUGGAUUUUCAAAUUUUGUAGACAGGCGAUCCAAAGCCAGGCGUGAAGUUUAGGAAACCAGGACCUCUGCCUUGGCUUCCUCCUUCUGUCACCUCCAGGAGCUUGCUGCAGGCACUAGGAAUAUGACUGAGAAGGCCCUCUGAUUCGGAGCUUAAUGGCACAUGAGAUGACAGAUCUAAAAUGACCGUGCUACCAACACCACAAGGCUUUGGUUUUUUGGCCACAAGGCAAGUGGGAUCUUAGCGCCCGGACCAGGGAUCGAACCUGCGCCCCCUUCAUUGGAAGGUGAAGUCUUAACCACUGGACCACCAGGGAAGUCCUCUAGACCAUGUUCUUUGACAUAAUUCUACUGUGGCCUUAGGUGUUAAUUCCAAGCUCGCUUCCUAGUAAUUCACCAGCAUGCUAUUCUCCAGCUCAGGAUCCACUUCCAAGGGAACCCAGCUUGCAACCGUUGGUGCCACAAGUGGUCAAGAAAGCAAAUGCUGGAGUGAGAUUUUAGAGC